UACGGGGGGGGCAAGCGUUGUUCGGAUUUACUGGGCGUAAAGGGCGCGUAGGCGGUCAGCACAAGUCAGUUGUGAAAUCUCCGGGCUUAACUCGGAAAGGUCAACUGAUACUGUGCGACUAGAGUGCAGAAGGGGCAACUGGAAUUCUCGGUGUAGCGGUGAAAUGCGUAGAUAUCGAGAGGAACACCAGUGGCGAAGGCGGCUUUCUGGGCGAUCACUGACGCUGAGACGCGAAAGCGUGGGGAGCAAACAGG
rnacentral:rRNA from 1 species